rnacentral:rRNA from 1 species
UCAGAGAAGAAGCUCUGACGGUAUCUGAGGAAUCAGCAUCGGCUAACUCUGUGCCAGCAGCCGCGGUAAUACGGAGGAUGCAAGCGUUAUCCGGAUUGAUUGGGCGUAAAGCGUCUGUAGGUGGUUACGCUAGUCGGCUGUUAAAGAUCAGGGCUGAACCCUGAGCAAGCAGUCGAAACUGCGUGGCUGGAGUACGGUAGGGGCAGAGGGAAUUCCCGGUGUAGCGGUGAAAUGCGUAGAUAUCGG